CUUUAUCUGCGCCCCCCCACCUACCCCUCAGCGACUGUCCCAGCCCCUGUCACUGCUGUACUAUCUUCUACUCCCUGCCCGUGGUGGGGAUGACUUUUCUGCGCAACGUUGCUCCUGGGGAUCAUGCACCCGCAGGGAGCGUGACCCCUUUGCGCGUUGUGAGUGGGCUACUGUCCAAGGGACCCGAUCGGAACCCUCCUGUCUAGGAAUAGAUGGGCUUAUGAAAGUGGCUCCUCUUCUUUCUCGCUCCGCCUGCUGCCCGCACCUCUCUUUUAUCUCUACCCCACUGGAGGGUUUGUGAAGGCUGAGGCUGCCUUUGGGGACUCACAAAAGACCACAGGGGUGAUUCGAAGGGUGAAUAAGGAAACGAUUAUCAGCACACUAUCCGGCUAGAGGGAAAACCUGUGGGUUUGUUAGUUGUUGCUCAUGGGAUUCUUCUUUUUUUAUAGCCGGAUAGUGCUCUAGGCAGUCUGCGGAGGACCAGCAGUCAGCCUUCCCAUUUCUCCAGUUGGUAAAGUGGAAUAAGGAUAUAUCACCAACUAUGUUUUCUUGCUUCGUGUCCCCAAGCCAGAGACUUGCAACUCUGUCUCCUGGUGUUUGAGAUAGUUUGGGGGCUCUUGGCUACUCACUGUUGAGCACAUCUUUUUCAGGGGUUGGGUGUUGGGGUAGGAUGUCCUGGGUUGGAAGUUCAAAUAGUAGUGGGCAAUAAUUAUCUUCCCAGGGUGGAGUAGCCCUUCCUUUAAGAACACAAGACCCUGCAAAGGAGCCCAGAAAUUCUUCAUCAUUUGUUUGUUUCUGGGGCCAAGGAAAAUAUUGAGAACAUUUUGCUGCCCCACACACCCUUCCAGGACAUGUUGAUUGCCAACUGCUCUGUGCAACUUUUCUCCAGCUAUGUCUCUUCAAGCAAAGACCAAAAAGGAAAGCAAGAAAAAACUAUGAAAACAUUAUAAUAAAUGAUAAAAUUAAUGUCUUUGGUCCUCUCUUUGCAGUCUGUGUCCAUCCUCUGAAUCAUUGUUUUCUUUUUUCCUAUUAUCAUGGUUUUAGACAUAGCAAAACUACAACAUUUCCCCUACCUUCAAGAUUAACAAGGUGGAGCUGGGGAUAUGGCUCAAAGCGGUAGCUCGCUGGCCUGGCAUGCGCAGAGCGCUGGGUUCGAUCCUCAGCACCAUAUAAAAAUAAAGAUGUUGUGUCCACAGAAAACUAAAAAAAAAUAAAUAAAUAUUAAAAAAUUAUCUCUCAUAUAAGAUGGUGUGAGGAAGAGAGAGAGAGAGAGAGAGAGAGAGAGAGAGAAAAG
rnacentral:lncRNA from 1 species